rnacentral:lncRNA from 1 species
AGCCGGCAAUUGUGUUUAACUCUGUUGAUUUUAACUGAAUCUUGCUAUUACUUGAUGUGUUUGAUGUCAUGGAUAUGAUCAAGGCCUUGUUUCUUUUUGAGUGGUAACUACUUAAGCCAAAAUAACCUACCUUGUGAGUUAGUGUGAUCCUUUGCUACCCCCUUGAGCUAAAAAUUUUGAAAAUUUGUUUCUUUUGAACCCUUGAACCGAAAUAAAGAAAAACAAUGACUUAACCCUUGUCUUAGGAU